GGGGGAAAAUUAAUAAAUUAAAUUUAAUAAAAAAAAUUUUAAUAUUAAAAAGAAAAUGGGGGUUUGAGUAUUUUUAAUAGAAAAAAUUAAUAGUUUUAUAGUUAAAUAUUACUGUAAAGGAAUUUAUAAAUAAAUGAAAUAUAAUUAAUGAAAAAGUAAAUUUAAAUUAUUGUAUCUUGUGUAUCAGAGUUUAUUAAAUAAUAAUAAUUUAUUUAAAUAAAUCUCGAAUUUAAAAGAGUUAAUUAAUUAAAAAAGUUAAUGUUGUAUAAUUAUUUUAAAUAAUUAAUUAGAAAUGAAAUGUUAAUCGUUUUUAAAUAUAUCUAGUUUUUUCAGAAAAAAAUUUAAUUUUAAAUUUAAAUAAUUUUAUAAUUAUUUAAUUAAUUAUAAAAAUUUAAAUUUUAAUAUUUUAGGGGAUAAGCUUUAAAUUAAAAAUUUAUAAUUAAAAAUAUUUAAAAUUAAAAUUUUUAAAAUUUAUAUUGUUUAAAAAUUAUAGUUUAUUAUAAAAAAUUUUAUUAAAAAAUAAAAUUUAAAAUAAAAAAAAAUUUAAAUUUUUAUGAAAAAAUAAUUUAUAAUUUAAUAAAAUUAGAAAUAAUGAUAAAAUUAGUAUAAUAUAAUAAAUUAAAAAAAAAAUUAUAAAUAAUUAAAUUAAAGGAAUUCGGCAAAAAUUUAUAUUCACUUGUUUAUCAAAAACAUGUCUUUUUGAUAAUAAUUUAAAGUCUAAUCUGCCCACUGAUAUUAUAUUAAAGGGCUGCAGUAUAUUGACUGUACAAAGGUAGCAUAAUCAUUAGUCUUUUAAUUGGAGACUUGUAUGAAAGAUUUGAUGAAAUAUAAACUGUCUCUAAUUUAUGAUUAGAAAUUAAUUUUUUAGUUAAAAAGCUAAAAUAACAUUAAAAGACGAGAAGACCCUAUAGAGUUUUAUAUUUUAUUUAAUUAAUAUUAAAUAUAUAAUUAAAUAUAUUAAUUAAGUAAAAUAUUGUGUUGGGGUGAUAGAAAAAUUUAAUAAACUUUUUUUAAAUUUAGACAUAGAUAAGUGGUUAGUUGAUCCAUUAAUAAUGAUUAAAAGAAAAAAUUACCUUAGGGAUAACAGCGUAAUAUUUUUUUUUAGUACACAUAAAAAAAAAAGUUUGCGACCUCGAUGUUGGAUUAAGAUAAAAUUUAAAUGCAAAAGUUUAAAAUUUUGAUCUGUUCGAUCAUUAAAAUCUUACAUGAUCUGAGUUCAAACCGGUGUAAGCCAGGUUGGUUUCUAUCUUUAAUAAAAAAAAAUAUUUUAGUACGAAAGGAUCAAAUAUUUAAAAUAAUUUUAUAAUAAUGAAUAUUAAUAAUAUAGUUUA
rnacentral:rRNA from 1 species